rnacentral:rRNA from 1 species
CCUACGGGAGGCUGCAGUGGGGAAUAUUGCACAAUGGGGGAAACCCUGAUGCAGCGACGCCGCGUGAGCGAUGAAGUCCUUCGGUAUGUAAAGCUCUAUUAGCAGGGAAGAAAAUGACGGUAUCUGACUAAGAAGCCUCGGCUAACUACGUGCCAGCAGCCGCGGUAAUACGUAGGGGGCAAGCGUUAUCCGGAUUUACUGGGUGUAAAGGGAGCGUAGACGGUCCUGCAAGCCAGAUGUGAAAGCCCGGGGCCCAACCCCGGGACUGCUCUUGAAACUGCAUGGCUGGAGUACAGGAGGGGCAGGCGGAAUUCCUAGUGUAGCGGUGAAAUGCGUAGAUAUUAGGAGGAACACCGGUGGCGAAGGCGGCCUGCUGGACUGUGACUGACGUUGAGGCCCGAAGGCGUGGGGAGCAAACAGGAUUAGAUACCCCGGUAGUC